rnacentral:misc_RNA from 1 species
UCCGGCUUAUCACCGGCAGUCCCUCUAGAGUGCCCAACUAAAUGAUGGCAACUAAAGGCAAGGGUUGCGCUCGUUGCGGGACUUAACCCAACAUCUCACGACACGAGCUGACGACAGCCAUGCAGCACCUGUCUCCGGUCCAGCCGAACUGAAGAGCUCCAUCUCUGGUGCUCGCGACCGGGAUGUCAAAGGCUGGUAAGGUGGGGAUGACGUCGAAUACGUAAC